rnacentral:rRNA from 1 species
AUUGAACGCUGGCGGCAGGCCUAACACAUGCAAGUCGAGCGGAGCGGCGGUGGGGUGAGUAAUGCCUAGGAAUCUGCCUGGUAGUGGGGGAUAAGGUCCGGUAACGGGCGCUAAUACCGCAUCCUAUCAGAUGAGCCUAUGGCGGAUUAGCUAGUUGGUGGGGUAAAGGCCUACCAAGGCGACGAGCCCUAUCUGGGCUGAGAGGAUGAGCAGUCACACUGGAACUUAGACACGGUCCAGACUCCUACGUGAGGCAGCAGUGGGGAAUAUUGGACAAUGGGCGAAAGCCUGAUCCAGCCAUGCCGCGUGUAUGAAGAAGGUCUUCGGGUUGUAAAGCACUUUAAGUUGGGAGGCGUUACCAACAGAAUAAGCACCGGCUAACUUCGUGCCAGCAGCCGCGGUAAUAC